rfam:Triticum aestivum genome assembly, contig: Triticum_aestivum_CS42_TGACv1_scaffold_222816_3B
CGAAUACUCCAUCCGUCUGGAAAUACUUGUCAUCAAAAUGGAUAAAAGGAAAUGUAUCUAGACGUAUUUUAGUUUUAGAUACAUCUCUUUUUAUCCAUUUUGAUACAAGUAUUUUCAGAUGGAGGGAGUAUUUA